rnacentral:rRNA from 1 species
CUAUGCACUCCUACGGGAGGCAGCAGUGGGGAAUAUUGCACAAUGGGCGCAAGCCUGAUGCAGCCAUGCCGCGUGUAUGAAGAAGGCCUUCGGGUUGUAAAGUACUUUCAGCAGUGAGGAAGGUGGGUAUGUUAAUAGCAUAUUCAUUUGACGUUAGCUGCAGAAGAAGCACCGGCUAACUCCGUGCCAGCAGCCGCGGUAAUACGGAGGGUGCGAGCGUUAAUCGGAAUUACUGGGCGUAAAGCGCAUGCAGGUGGUUUGUUAAGUCAGAUGUGAAAGCCCGGGGCUCAACCUCGGAAUUGCAUUUGAAACUGGCAAACUAGAGUACUGUAGAGGGGGUAGAAUUUCAGGUGUAGCGGUGAAAUGCGUAGAGAUCUGAAGGAAUACCGGUGGCGAAGGCGGCCCCCUGGACAGAUACUGACACUCAGAUGCGAAAGCGUGGGGAGCAAACAGGAUUAGAUACCCUGGUAG